rnacentral:ncRNA from 1 species
GCCCUUUGUACACCCCGCCCGUCGCUGCCCGGGACUGAGCCGUUUCGAGAAAAGCGGGGACCGCUAAUGUUUCAAUGCUUUUCGAAGUGGAGAUUCAUUGGUGGAAACCGCUUUAAUCGCUGUGGCUUGAACCGGGCAAAAGUCGUAACAAGGUUUCCGUAGAUGGUAGCAACU